GCUUUGAGCAGUCACCAGUCACAGUUAGUCGUUGAGCCCAAGCGCGAUCGUGUUGUGAUAGUUGGGUUGCAGUUAUUAGCGCGGUUACACACCACGGUUGGGUGGGGCUUGUUUUGGUUCAUCGCUGUUCACUUUAACCUGCCUGUGGUCUGGCGAUCUUACCCGACGACAUGGAAAACGUUCAACUAAAUUUCACAGUGGGGUCAUGAGAUUCAAUGCUUCUUUGUACUUACAGCGUUGUCCGAUCAUCUCAAGGAGCUUGCCGGGAUGCUGCCUUCUGUUCCUUACUUACUUCCUGAAACUACUCAUCUGUUGUCCCUCCAUGUGAAGGAGAUCUUCAGAGAUCUUCAAUCAGUGACCUGGAAGCUAGCAGCUAUUCUUCUUGCUGUAUCAGCUAUUCUUCCUUCAUUAUUUCCUGAGUGAACUGGGUAUGGGUGGAUGGGCCGGCAGGAACGCAUGCUGCAAAGAGCUGUGCACAAUCAACAUGGCAAGAAAACUAAGCAAACAAACAUGUUUAACUUUUUCUAUUAGGUUAAAUUUGUAAUGUUUUAUUAUUUGUUGAAUUUUUCAUUGUACAGUAUGUACGGUUCCUAUUUAAUUUGAUAAUAAGAAAACCAUCUUGCACCAAUUGUUUCAGAUAAUCAACGUACUGCUGUAAACAGUCCUUUUACCUCUAAUCAAAAAGAUCAAUAGAACAUAGAUUUAAGCAGUAUUACAUAUUAAAUAUUUAGUAUAGAGAAGUAAGAAAAUAACAUUUAUUUCUUACACAAUUAACCACAAUCAAUAAGAAAGAGAGGAUUUUAGUUUUAAAAUUUACUACAUUUGUUAACAAUGUAUAAUUUUAUUUAGACAAUAAUAAGGCCAAUUAAAUAAAUAAAACCUAAAAUGAGACCAAAUAACAUGUCUUGUUUUUGUUCUUGUCA
rnacentral:lncRNA from 1 species